GAAUCUCUUCUUUCAUCAGGUAAGAAAGACCGACUUCCUCCUCCUCUUCACCUUCCCCCAAAUCUGAAGCUCCAUCAUCUUCAUCAUCUUCCUCUUCAUAUUCUCCUGGAGGCCCCGCUUCAUUCUCAUCAUCGUCGUCAUCUUCAUCCCCUUCUGCAGUGAAGGACACACACAGGCCAUUCACUCCUCUCUGAAUACAUCAGGGUGAGCUGGCUCUAACAGGUUUUUCCAGAAGGAUUUGGGGAUUUUUACUUUUUUUUUUUCCCUAAAUGCAGGCCACACGUGGGAAACAACCACGAUUGUAACCGAGUUAAUCUUUGUCAUUUUUCCUCUACGAAAGGCUCCCACUGUUUUUCCAUCACAAGCUUCAGGCAAAACUCGACACCUGAAGCAGGUACAAACACUAACUCCUACCAGGGGAAGGGACUUCACUACAGAAGCCAACCCUAAAAUAUUUUAAGGCAAAGCCAGCUUAACAUAGUGCACACCUCUGUUACCUGAUGACUGGGAAAUGCAACACCUGCAGCUCCAAAGGGAUGGCCCCUCACCUCCUUCCUGUGCCUGGAGCACUAAUCCCUGUCAUGAGCCAGGUCAGCAAGUGACAAGACAUCACCAGCUGAUUUAACACUUAAAUUCAUUUUCAACUUAAACUAUUAAUCUGUUUUCAAAUAUUGGGUUAUUUUCACAUUCCAAGUAUCAACCGCUGGGCUUCCAUCAAGUUCUCUUAAAUCCAGGCUCCCAAAGCCUAUAGGAUUUGCUGACAGCAAAAACAGCCUCCUUAAGGACUGCAACCAAGUGUGUUAAUACCAAACACACUCUGGACUCAGCGCUUCAGGAACACGAGCAGAAUCACCCUCGUGUGCUCAGGAUGUCCCUGCACUACACUGAGACCUUUAUUCCAGCAGCCCAUUCCUACUCCCAGUUUGCUUCGGGAAGUUACCGUCGUCAUCGUCUUCCGAGUCCGGUGCCUCGUUGUCCUCCUGAUCAAACCCGUCCAGGUACGUGAUCUGCUGGAGCAGCUCGAAGAUGCUGUCCCUGUAGUCCUCGAGGUUCGUAAUCUCACAGUUGAACAGGUCAAGGCUCUUCAGGUUCUUCAGAUUUUGCUGAAAACGAACAAAAAGGGUUUUUUCCCCUUCUCGACGCACCCCCGUGAUGCUGCCAGGUACAGUGUGGUCGCAGAAUUUACUCUGUCCCCAUCCUUCAUUUCUAGUCAGCAUUUUUCACCCCAGAAGUUCAGUCCAAGUUCUGGCAGUGGCUGAACCCCCAAUGCCUGUGCAGAUCAACGCCCCACAGCUCCCAAGAGCUCCUAAACCCACAGACUCCCUCACACCCUGGGGGUUGGGUUGUGUGUGCAGAGCCCAGAUUUGGACAGACACCCCAAUCAUCCAGAAAAACAGGGAAAGAGAUCACCCCAGCUCCCUCCUCUGCUUCACCAACCCACUGCUGCUGCUCCCCAGGUUUGCUCCUGGUUGUAUCCCACACGUGUCUGAGUCACCUCACAGGUUAAUGAAAGCUCACCCUAACAAACGAGCACAGAGGGGUCAGCAUGACACACCUGGGCCACUCUUCCUUCAAAGACAAAACAAGCCCAACAAUCUCUCGCUCAGGACAUCCCAUACCCAACAUGGGAGCAUUUUCCAGCAGUGGGGUUCCACGUGCUGUCCUACAACCACGGCACCGAGUCCCUCAAACCAGGGCUGACCACGAGGCUGACAAACGUUUGUACCAAUCCAUUCCCAAAAAUACUGAUGGAUUCUUGAUAAAAAAAUAGUAUUUAUGAAAUCUCCCGAGCCCCUCCCACUUCAUACUCACAAGAGCUUCCACAGUGCCAAGAUCUUUGAUUUUGUUGCCACUUAGAUUUAGAUAUGUGAGAUUUGGACAUCGCUCUGCCAGGACCUCCAGGCCUCCGGAAAUGACGUUGUCGCUCAACUCCAGCUAUUGUACAGAAAAAAAAAAAAGAAUUAAACAGUUGGAUUCUCACCCUUAGAUUCAGCUGCUUCAUCGUUAUUUGCUCUCUCUUUAAGUGUUUAAUCACUUUUGAAGAGUCGCUCAAGUUAACAAGCUUUGGCUGUCAAAAAGUUCCUUUAAGCUGGAAAUUACAAAAUGCUCCUGCAAGUCUCAUGGGUUUGGGCACCUCAGUUUUAAGUUAUUAGGACUGGAGUUCACUGCCAGCAAUCCAAGGGCCUCUUACCAAGGCCUGGUGCUCACCAAGGCACAGCCAACCUUCACAACGUCCACAGCCAAGCAGUCACCACCCAAGAGUCAGUGAACGAGCCCAGCUGGCCAUAAUUAACUGGAGACACCCAAAACAAUUUCAUAUUUAAAAAAAAACCCCAAAAUUUCACAGAUAUAGCACCGUUAGCACCACACAAGCCCAACUGUGACCGUGGCUCGUCACUUUGUGACUUUGCCCUCCCAGAGCGCCGGUGGACGGGAGAUACUCACCUUCCUGAGCUUACUCAACGUGGGGAGCUUGGCCAGCGACGUCAGCUCGACGUUGGCCAUGCUGAGAAACUGGAGUUCCUUGAAGGAGUCAUUGAGCCCUUCGAUUUCCCCGUUGCUGGACCGGCAGUUAUCGAGCACCAACUCCGUCACCUGCCAACAGGCCACAACGUGUGGGUGUCACCAAAGCCCCCCACUCACCUGAGCCCCGACCCGGGGCAGUGGCUGCUGCUUUGGGGCUUGGUUUAAAUUCACACCAGACUUGUGCCCCAAAAUCCUCAACACCCACUUAUCUGAAAGUGCUUUUCUUUCCUCUGAGCGUGCAUCAAACUCUGCAAAAACUGCCACCUGGCCCCAAAACUCCCCCUGGAUGGACCCUGGUACAGCUCCCCACAGCACUGCUGUGUAUGCAGCCAACCACCAACUUAUCCUCAAGGCUCACCAUUUAACUGUGCAUAUCCAAACCCCUCAAACCAGUUUCACUCAGAACCCAAAACCUUCCGACUCCAGAUGAUUUUCCCAGAGAGUUCUGCAGGUUAUUUAAGCCCAAUUAAAUCAUUUCCUCAUGCCAAAGACGCUUGGUAAUCAAUACACAGGUCGUGUGCUUGGAGAAGCGGUGACGAGGAGCAGCCAAUUAAUUUUAAAUUAUUUUAUCCAGAGUGGAACAUCCACUCGUUAAAGGACAGGCACAAGGUGA